UACGGAGGGUGCAAGCGUUAUCCGGAUUCACUGGGUUUAAAGGGAGCGUAGGUGGCUUUGUAAGUCAGUGGUGAAAUAUUGCGGCUCAACCGCAAAACUGCCAUUGAUACUGCUUAGCUUGAAUCACGUCGAGGUGGAUGGAAUAAUACAUGUAGGCGGUGAAAUGCUUAGAUAUGAUAUUAGAACACCGAUUGCGAAGGCAGUUCACUAGGCUGUGAUAUUGACACUGAGGCUCGAAAGCGUGGGAUCAAACAGG
rnacentral:rRNA from 1 species